AGCGAACGCUGGCGGCAGGCCUAACACAUGCAAGUCGAACGGAUCCUUCGGGAUUAGUGGCGGACGGGUGAGUAACACGUGGGAACGUGCCCUUUGGUUCGGAACAACUCAGGGAAACUUGAGCUAAUACCGGAUGUGCCCUUCGGGGGAAAGAUUUAUCGCCAUUGGAGCGGCCCGCGUCUGAUUAGCUAGUUGGUGAGGUAACGGCCCACCAAGGCGACGAUCAGUAGCUGGUCUGAGAGGAUGAUCAGCCACACUGGGACUGAGACACGGCCCAGACUCCUACGGGAGGCAGCAGUGGGGAAUCUUGCGCAAUGGGCGAAAGCCUGACGCAGCCAUGCCGCGUGAAUGAUGAAGGUCUUAGGAUUGUAAAAUUCUUUCAGCGGGGACGUUAAUGACGGUACCCGCAGAAGAAGCUCCGGCUAACUUCGUG
rnacentral:rRNA from 1 species